rnacentral:rRNA from 1 species
AUUGAACGCUGGCGGCAGGCCUAACACAUGCAAGUCGAGCGGAUGAGGGAAGCUUGCUUCCCGAUUUAGCGGCGGACGGGUGAGUAAUGCCUAGGAAUCUGCCUAUUAGUGGGGGAUAACGUUCCGAAAGGAACGCUAAUACCGCAUACGUCCUACGGGAGAAAGUGGGGGAUCUUCGGACCUUACGCUAAUAGAUGAGCCUAGGUCGGAUUAGCUAGUUGGUGGGGUAACGGCUCACCAAGGCGACGAUCCGUAGCUGGUCUGAGAGGAUGAUCAGCCACACUGGAACUGAGACACGGUCCAGACUCCUACGGGAGGCAGCAGUGGGGAAUAUUGGACAAUGGGCGAAAGCCUGAUCCAGCCAUGCCGCGUGUGUGAAGAAGGUCUUCGGAUUGCAAAGCACUUUAAGUUGGGAGGAAGGGUUGUAAGCUAAUAUCUUGCAGCUUUGACGUUACCAACAGAAUAAGCACCGGCUAACUCUGUGCCAGCCGCCGCAGUAAAAC